CUUGACAUUUUGUUUGAGCCAUUUGCUUGCUGUGGGUUUAGGAGUCAUAAGGAAAUUAGUGUGUAUUCAGUGGUGAUCAGCAUUCGGCCUCAUCUUUUUUAUGGGCAUUUGCCUGCAUCUAUCUUCAACCAAUUUGGCAUUGGUUCUAAUCCGGUAGCAUCAUGCGGUGUGACUGCAAAGGGAGGUAUAUGGAAUCAAUGAAAUACAUAGAUGAUGAUGUCUCUUUCUGAUAACUGAAAGAAGAGUAUAGCGUACGUGCACUGCUUAGCAGGAAAUGUUGAGGCCGAGUAUUGCAAAGCACAAAGCACUAAAAAGAUUCAUCUGCCAGAUUGCCAUACCGACCAAGGGACCAAGCACCGCUAUGCAGAAUUAGAAUACUGAGAAGCAAGAGUGGUUACAUUUUGUGCAUCGCAUUUUUUGUGGGUGUUCCUAUCAUAUUUGAUUUAGUCUUGCAAUGGUCUGAAUCCAAAUUUUGCAGUGUGGUGCAAGAGCAGAGAGUUGAUUAGCUGUUAGUGAAUCACAUUGUGUGUGUGUGAAGUACCACAGACCAGCAUAUCGGUAGGCAUCAUAUCCAUUAUCCAUGCACACAUUUCAUUGGCACCCA
rnacentral:lncRNA from 1 species